rnacentral:rRNA from 1 species
UCGAGAAUCUUCCACAAUGGACGAAAGUCUGAUGGAGCGACGCCGCGUGAUUGAUGAAGCACUUUGGUGUGUAAAGAUCUUUUAUGAGGGAAGAAAUUAUUGACGGUACCUCAUGAAUAAGGGGCUCCUAACUCUGUGCCAGCAGGAGCGGUAAUACAGAGGCCCCGAGCGUUAUCCGGAUUUAUUGGGCGUAAAGGGUGAGUAGGUGGUGCAACUAGUCUUUUGUUAAAUCUUCGGGCUUAACCCGGAGCCGGCGAAAGAAACGGUUGCGCUAGAGGGUGCGAGAGGUGUACAGAACUCAUGGUGUAGGGGUGAAAUCCGUUGAUAUCAUGGGGAAUACCAAAAGCGAAGGCAGUACACUGGCGCAUUCCUGACACUGAAUCACGAAAGCGUGGGUCGC